ACCUCCUACUGUUUCCAGAUAUUUUUCCGUCCUUGCUCAGAGUCACAGUCACCAUCUCUCUCUCUCCAUCAUCUUUGCGAACAGGUGCCCUUGCUCGGGUAAGUUAACACCAAGACACGUUACCUGACCGGAUGAAUAUGGUAAGGACCAAGAAUUUUACCCGGCAAGAUCGACAUAAGGACAAGAGUGUAAGUGAAGGCAAAGACUCUUACCACGGUAAGCGCUUACCGGGUAAAUUGUUACAUCUAUACCGUUUUUCAUGCUGUGUGGCAGAUCGUAUUUAUUGUGAGCAUGUUUCUCUUGGUUAGCAAUGUUCAACAGAUAAGUAUGUACAUUCCUUUUCACAGACUUCAGCAAAUCAAGUACAAAUCAUACCUUCGAU